UCCCCUAGUAACGGCGAGUGAAGAGGGAAGAGCUCAAAUUUGAAAGCUGGUACCUUCGGUAUCCGCGUUGUAACCUCGAGACACGUUUUCCGUGCGGCGCUAUGGACAAGUUCCUUGGAACAGGACAUCGUAGAGGGUGAAAAUCCCGUACUUGCCAUGGAUGUACCGUGCUUUGCGAUACGUGCUCUAAGAGUCGAGUUGUUUGGGAUUGCAGCUCAAAAUGGGUGGUAGACUCCAUCUAAAGCUAAAUAUCGGGGAGAGACCGAUAGCGAACAAGUACCGUGAGGGAAAGAUGAAAAGCACUUUGGAAAGAGAGUUAAAAGUACGUGAAAUUGUCGAAAGGGAAGCGCUUGAAGUCAGCCAUGCCGCUCAGGACUCAGCCUGGCUUUUGCUUGGUGUAUUUCCUGGGUAGCAAGUCAGCAUUGGUUUGGAUCGUCGGAGAAGCAUAGUCGGAAUGUGGCGCCCUCGGGCGUGUUAUAGCCUUCUAUUGGAUACGACGAUCUAGACCAAGGAACGCAGCGCGCCUUAUGGCGGGUCUUCGGACACCUCGCGCUAG
rnacentral:rRNA from 1 species